CUAUCAUGGCAGGACUUUCAACUGAAAUUCUUGGGCAGAAGAGUUCUAUCCAACAGAAGGGUUUCCUGGGAAUGUCACAUUCUACUGCCUUGGCCUCCCUGUUCCCCAGAUAUAUCACCAAUUGAGCAUUUAUGUUUCUUCGAUGACGUCACAUUCAUCUCCCAAAAUGGAGUAGUCAGACUUGGAACAGUUGGGUGCUCUACUGGCCAGAGAGUUCUCCUGAGUUCUCUA